rnacentral:rRNA from 1 species
AUUGAACGCUGGCGGCAGGCCUAACACAUGCAAGUCGAGCGGAUGAAGGGAGCUUGCUCCUGGAUUCAGCGGCGGACGGGUGAGUAAUGCCUAGGAAUCUGCCUGGUAGUGGGGGAUAACGUCCGGAAACGGGCGCUAAUACCGCAUACGUCCUGAGGGAGAAAGUGGGGGAUCUUCGGAUCUCACGCUAUCAGAUGAGCCUAGGUCGGAUUAGCUAGUUGGUGGGGUAAAGGCCUACCAAGGCGACGAUCCGUAACUGGUCUGAGAGGAUGAUCAGUCACACUGGAACUGAGACACGGUCCAGACUCCUACAGGAGGCAGCAGUGGGGAAUAUUGGACGAUGGGCGAAAGCCUGAUCCAGCCAUACCGCGUGUGUGAAGAAGGUCUUCGGAUUGUAAAGCACUUUAAGUUGGGGGGAUGGAAAGUAAGUUAAUACCUUGCUGUUUUGACGUUACCAACAGAAUAAGCACCGGCUAACUUCGUG